rnacentral:lncRNA from 1 species
CAGAAUCAGGGGGUCUGGGGAACACUUGCCUCCUCAAAGUCUGGGAACAGGGACCAGAGGAGAUGCAGACAGUAGAUUGUGGACAAAACGUGGCACAGGCCAAGCAACUGGGUGAUGCCUGUAGCCUUGUAGCUCCCCUCCUCCCACACCCACCUGGCAAAUACCCCUGAGAACCUCCCCUCUGCUCAGAGGUUUUUUUGGUCCUUUGAGGGCCAGCACCGGCUGCAUAUGGAGGAUCCUAGGGGUCUAGUCGGAGCUGUUGCUGCCCGCCUACGCCACAGCCACGCCAGAUCCGAACCGCGACUGCACCCUACACCACAGCUCAAUAUCGGAUCCUUUAAACCACUGAGCGAGGCCAGGGAUCGAACCCACAACCACAUGGUUCCUAGUCAGAGUCGUUUUGGCUGCGCCACGACGGUAACAACUCCUCUCUGCUCAGAUUGUGCCAGGCCUUGAUGCCCAACGCCUGUCACUUUUGUCUCUUUGGCGGGCCAGCCGGCCACACCCACCUCCCACUCACCCUUCCUUUGGCCCAGCCUCGCCCGGAGGCCCCACUCAAACAGAGGAGUGUCAUCUGAGGUGACCUCCACUUAUGGGCCAUCACAGCGCCUCUGCUCAGCAGCCUGCAAUGGCCCACCCCUCAAGCUGAGGGCCAGCCGGCCAGUCAACCCCUGCAGACCCUCCAGGCUGACCACACCCCAGAGCCCACGCCCCCCGCCCCCCCGCCGCCGCCUUCAGCGCUGUAGUGGGGGAGAUAGACACUGCCGCAACUUUUACCAAGGCCCUGCCGCGGAGGAAGGUUGAGCCCGCAGGCCGACGGCUAAAAGCCUCAGACUGCCAGGACAGCUCAGUUUCCAGCCUCGGAGGUCCGGAGACACACAGCAUGUUUCCUGGGCCCGUUCAUGAGGGAAGACUCGGACCCACGGGCUGGGAACCUGGGACUCGGGUGGGAGCUGAGGCCAGCGGGGGCGGGGCCGCACGCUCCCGGAAGCCCGGCGGCGUGCGCUGGUGGCGUCACGGCGCGCCCACUUCGACGCGAACCCGCGCAUGCGUUCGGCCCUCUCAUUAGGUCUGAGACCGACCUUGCCAGUACCCUCAACCUUCGGUGUUCGGCCGGCGCAGCCUCCGUCGCCCGCCCCCCGGGUCGGCAGGCUGCUCACGCUGGACGUCAAGAGCUCUCCUGAAGCAGCCUGAGGGGACAUCCUCCGGCCUCCCCACCCCCACCGUGAAAUUCCUCAGUUUCCCCGAGCUGGACGCCUGCCGCGGCGGCCUGCCCUCUUCUUCGUCCCCGACCGCUGCACACUGCUGUUCCCUCUCACCAGCACUUCCUCACCCUCGACCUUUGCUCGGUAAUCCGCACUGUCCUUCAAGACGUACCUGACCUAUGUGCAGGGAGGGGGCCUGUUCCCCUUUUCCCGAACGGCCCUCUUCCUGUGUCUUCAGACCCAAACUUCCAAAAGGCAGAGCCUGGAUCUGUGGCUCACCCCUCUGUCUUCCUCCCUGUGCAGCAUUCUGCUCCAGAGUCCCUAGUCUCACCUGUGGGAAGGGAGAUGUGGUCAGGAGGUCCUCCAGUCUCUCCGCUGCUCACCCUGCCCUGUCCUGCUUGCCUGGCCAGCUCCAAUCCAUGUAAGGCACGGUUGCCCAUGCCACAGCCCUGUAGAAGAGGAGGCCAGGGCACACCCCUCUAUGUCCCCUCACUUCUGGAGCCUGUCAUUAACCCAGGAUUCAGAGUCGGGCCUGGGGUAGGUCUCUGCAGAAGGCAGUCAUAAACACAGGCCGAGUUACCUGGACAAUGGGCCUCCUGCCAGGACCUUCUUUCUCAACCGGCCUCAAUUCUGAGGUGGAAAAAUCCAGGAGUUCCCAUCGUUGCUCAGUGGUCAACGAACCCCGACUAGGAACCAUGAGGUUGCGGUUUUGAUCCCCUGGCCUCGCUCAGUGAGUUAAGGAUCCGUAAGCUGUGGUGUAGGUCGCAGAUGCGGCUUGGAUCCCGUGUUGCUGUGGCGUAGGCUGGUGGCUACAGCUCCAAUUCAACCCCUGGCCUGGGAACCUCCAUAUGCCGUGGCUGUUGCCCUAAAAAGACAAAUACAUACAUACAUACAUACAUACAGUGUUUCCUUGAAAAUUAAAAAUAUAUAUAUUAUUAAAAAAAGAAAGAAAAAUCCAGACAGAGACCAGACCUGUCUGGGAUGUAUGGAGGGCCCAGGUCUGCACAGUCCCCAUCCUGGCACACCUAUUGAGCAGGGUUGGCAGGUAGAGUCACCUCAGCUGGGUCACUGGUCCAUACUCUGGGAUGGGGCCCCAAGGGAAAGACAGAGUGUGCAGGCAGUGGCUCUUUGCUGGCCUCAGUCAGCAUCCCCCUGGUCUGCGACCUGCUUCCUGGCCACAAAUAAUGGAGAGGAGAGUGUACCUUGCUUUGGAACCCCAGCUCAGUGGGGAGGCCAACACCCAAGGCCACUAGGAGUGAACAGGGCCAGACGUGGCAUGGGGAAAGGGACAGGAUGGGGAGGAGCUGGCCUAAAGGAAAGAAGGGGUCCCAAAGGGUGGGCAGAGGAUAUCUUCCCUUAUUGCUAGUGGAGGCUUCCAGAGGUGGAGGCUGGAGCCAAGACCUGGGAGCCACUCACACCUGGCCUCUUGGCCUGUUGGACCCAGGAAUUCAUCCCUCCCUCUGGUUGUUGGGACUAGGCCUGGUCCAGUGAGCACUGCAGAGAUGGAGACUAGCCCACGGCUGGAACUGCAGAGGUUCCGAGGAGGGGUCAACUGCUCCAGCGCCUGGCUGACAAUUGAGCGGCCAAAGCAGAUUAACCCUGGUGCUAAUCCCCGCUAAUGGCUUCAGAAUCCCCGGCGCCUAGCGGCUAAGCCGGCCUUUCUCCGCAGCACGGCCGGCCCUCCCUGGCGGCCUCAGCCUGCGGCUGCGCGAUGCUAUCGCAGACCCACCGCGCUAAUCCUCGCUCUUGCUUUCUUCCCAGACCCGCUUGAGAUCGGCCGAUUGGCGCUUGAUUAGGGCUGCUAUCGAGGGCCUCUUUGUGCCAUCGGCCCUAAAUCCCCUAAUUCCGUGAUAAAGGAGGCAUUAGCGGGCCUUUGCUUCGGAGAAAGGCACCGGCUUGAAAGAAAGCAAUCAGGGGGAUCCUGAUGGCCUCGCCUGCUAGGCCAGGGAGGGAGCGGGAAAGGAGAGUGUGCGGAUGGCCCCUCCCACCUCCAUCCGAGGCUGUCUUCCCCAGCCCUGAGCUCUGCCCAACCCUGAGUUCUGCCCCACUUCCCCUCUAGCCUCACAUAGGCCUUUGCUGGAACCUAACUCCAUACCCGCCCUGGACGUGGCUGGACCUGCCUUGUGCUCCAGCCUCUGAUAGAUGAAAGCCAGUAGUCUCAGCCCACCCACAGAUCCCUUCCCUGGGCUCCCAGGUGCUCCCCCAGCCCCUCCCACCCCCUGGAGGUCCUGGCUGCCAUCUGCCCCUCUUCUCUGACACUGACCAGCUUUGACCAGUCCUGGAAGUGGUUGAGUCUGCUCUUCAGUCCAGGAAACAGGUGAAGGCAGCCAGGAGUGAUGGGUUGUGGAGGGUAUGUGCCUCCGGGCCGGCCUGAGACCUCUGGUGGAGGGCAGCUGGGGUGAGCAGGGAAGGCCUCUCUGCAGAGUCCACAGUGAACCCCAGGAUGGGGCUGAGAGCACUGCGCUGGCUGCAAGCUGGGUGCAUUGACAGAGCUGAUCUGGAGCCUGGGCAGCUGGAGGGAGGAGGCAGAGGCGGGAUGGGCAGAUGGGCAGAGGUGUCAGAGUCCAGGAGCUGGGGGAGCAGGAAGAGGAGGCAGCUGAUCCUGUUAUCAUGAGCUUGGGGGUGGAGGGUGUGUCCUGAUUGGAUCUCUGUGCACAAGGAGCACUGCGGCAAGGUGACAGGCUCACUUUGGGGAGUGGGUCAGGUGAGAACAGUGGUAGGAGAGGGUUGGACGGCCUUUGUGGAGGCCCCCAUCUGCCCUGGCACUGAAUGGUGGUGUGGUAGAACUGAUGAGGUUUGGGGGUGGGACCGAGGGGAAUGUCUAGCACUUGAGACUCAGGCAGCUCUGGGGCAGGUGGGUGUCACAGAGGUAUGGGUGGGUGAACCAACCACUUACUUGGGUGGAUAGAUGUGCAUUUACCAAGGUGAACAGAAGUCUAAGUGUGGCUCACCCAGGCGGCGAGGUGGAAAGGCAGGCCACUUACCAAGGUGGACAAGUGGAGGGGUUACCGAUCAAUGGAUGGCAUUGUGCAUCAUGGGGGCUGCUGGGGCUCUGUCCAGACCCCUUGGGUGGUCAGCUCACCUCCUGCUUCUCUGAGUGUCAGUCUCCACCUUGGAGCUUUGCCCCAGGUGACAGAGCCACCAUGCAGCACACAGGGGUGACCACAUGAGGAACCAAAGGCUGGUCCCUAUUCUGCCUCCAGGUAGUUCAAAUUUGAAGCAGUCUGAGUCUGCCCCAGCUUCAACAGAAGGUUACACAGAUGCUGGCCUCUACCCCAGAUGCCUCCUCGCUUAGCACUCUUCACCCCUCACCUGGCCCUGACCUGCUCCCAGGGUGACCAACCAUGUCACCCUGUUAUUGGGCAGUCUCCUGAGAGGCAAGACUCACGGGCAAGCCAGGCUGAUUAGUCACUCUGUACUGCUGUCAUGUCCCCCCAAAAAGAGAUGUUGAAGUCCUCAACCUGGGUACAUGAACGUGAACUUACUGGGAAAUAGGAUUGGUCUUUACAGAUAUAAUUAAGAUGAGGUCAUACUGGAGUAGCAUGGGUGCUUAGUCCAGUUUAAUGGAUGACCUUAUAAGAAGAGGAGACACGGAGGCAGACGUGCACUCAGAACCCUGAUGGCAAAGCAGUGGGACCCUGACUCAUACCGUGGGAUAUCUUGAGCACUUUGACCCCAGACUCUCUGGACCCUCUGGGCCUGAAGAAGUGGCCUUACGUCCUCCAUGGUGGAAGGUGGUGGUCCACCUUGCAGGAGAACUCUGCAGAGACCUCAACUGAAGCAGUGCCUCCUAAGACAGUGUUUGCCUCUGAGUCUAGCUCCCUCCCCUGCUGGCCACCACACUGCAAACAAGGAUCAUCUUGGCAUGAACCAGCUGAGGUGCUGAGCCCCAUGGGAGGGCAGGGAUGGGGGUAAGAGAG